rnacentral:misc_RNA from 2 species
GGCGAAGAACCGGGGAGCC